rnacentral:rRNA from 1 species
UACGGAGGGGGCGAGCGUUAAUCGGAAUUACUGGGCGUAAAGCGCGCGCAGGCGGUUUGUUAAGCGAGAUGUGAAAGCCCCGGGCUCAACCUGGGAACCGCAUUUCGAACUGGCAGACUAGAGUCUUGUAGAGGGGGGUGGAAUUCCAGGUGUAGCGGUGAAAUGCGUAGAGAUCUGGAGGAAUACCGGUGGCGAAGGCGGCCCCCUGGACAAAGACUGACGCUCAGGCACGAAAGCGUGGGGAGCAAACAGG